AUCGCUUCUCGGCCUUUUGGCUAAGAUCAAGUGUUGUAUCAGAGCAUUUGAUUAGGAUAGUAAUAUAAAGAAACCUACUUAAAAAUUCUCGAACUUUCAUGUACUGGUGUAGGUCAUUCUCUCCUCUACUAGUUCUGUGACUGAUAGAAUACAUUUAAAUUCUGCAGUCUCUGGAGUGGUAACUAGAGGACGAUCA